rnacentral:lncRNA from 1 species
CUCUAAUUCAGGAGCAGACUUUUACUAUGUUGCAAGGACAUCAGGAUGGCAAAAGUCUGGCAAGAAGGGGUCAUUUUUUGCAGGAGCAGAAUGGAGUUCAUCCACAUGUGCCAUCUUCAUAGAUUGAGUUGCUGCUGUCUUUGCACGAAAGUCAGCCAGGGCAUUUGACUGAUACUCAGAUUCGGUCUUUUUUAAGUGUGAGCCUCAACUGUGACGACAGCAAUUUCAGAAGAUAUAUCAAGAAACAUUAUGCUCCUGGUCUAUUCUCUUUUUCAUUCCUUCAUCCUGCUGCCUAAAAUAUAGAUACUGCCACCUGAGACCAUGAGAACAAGGAUCACAAUAUAGGAAUAUCAGAGCAAUGAGCUGGAAGGCUCCUUCUGGCUUCUGGUCACCUUCUCCACUGUCACCCUCCGCGCCGCACGGCGAAGAUCCUGCUCACCCGCCAGGACCUCAGCCCGGAGCGGGUCCCGCCGUCUGCCCCUCGGAAGCCUGGGCGCUCCAGGAUGUGGGCCCCAACGCAGACGGAAGUGCCGGCAGCUCGAGGGGCGGGGCAGGGGGCGGGGCCUGGCCCGGCUGGCCAAUGGAAGCGCUGAGCCCAGAGUCAGAGGUCACAUGUGCAGUGGGCGGGAAUUUUCUCCUGAGAAGACCGGUAGGAGGCGGUUUUCCCUCUGCCUGUACCCUGAGAGGCUGGAGAGACGAGGGAGGGAAGGUGUUUUUAGACUGAGGGGAAGAAAGGAUCGACGUGGGGCUAGAGUAUGGCAGCUCCGAAAUCUCUGGAAAACAGAUUUGUGAGGCGUGGCUGAUGUGACCCUGUGGGGACAAGGCCCCAGAACGGGUGUCCACCUAACCUAAUUAGGCGAGAACAGAGGGUGUGAAGGACACGGGUAGGCCGACGGGACUUCAGUCCACUAACCAGAAGUUGUAUAGCUUAAGCAACAUGAGAAAAGAUAUGAACCUCACCUGUGCCAUUUUACAUGGUUAAAGCGUGAGCUUUAUGCCAGGGAGCGAGGAAGGGAAGAAAUCUGAUCCCUCCUCCGGUGGGAGGAGAUGGGAAGCCAGCCCGGAAGACCACGCUCACCUGCGUGUGGUCUCAAACAAUCUUGGGAAUAAUAUGCCAUUGUAUAUAUGUCCACCUUAAAUAGACACAAGUUUUAUUUGGGCAGAAAAAAUCUUGGGAAACUUUCCUCCUCCAGCCUUGUGGAUGAGAACCUGACCUAAUGAGUUGUCUGUAUUUCCAUUUUGCCCCAGAAGAUAGCGGUCAAGAGGUAGCACAGGAGAAAUAAAAUCAUUACAAACAGGUGUUGAAAUUUGUACUGCUUGCAAAGAAAGAAGCUAUGUUUUCAACAUUCAAAUAUUGUGCAAUAGAUUAUUUAUAUGAGAAUGUAAUUAGGAAGAAGUUUUCUAGAGAUGCUUUCUUGCUUCGAAUCCCUUCAUGUUUAUAUCAAGAUGGAGAUUAUCUUACAGGAGUUAUUGAUAGUGCAUUUAGGAGGCCAUGGACAAGAGGUAUGUUUUGUUUUUAUUUCUAAAAAAUCUAUUUUAAAAAUUAUUUCUGUUUAGCAGAGUAAAUUAUUAAGAAAAUGCAGUGUUUUUCUCAUUAAAUAAAAAUGCAUUGCAUUUAUUCAUAUCAGAAUUCCAAGAAGUUUAUAAAUUGAUAUUUUUGUGACAGAAUUUAGGUGACAAAAUAAGGAGUUGGAAAGCUUACACUAAAUAUGAGUAGAACGAAUAAAAGAUAUGUAGAUGAUGAAGUCUUAAAAUAUUCUAACAUUGUAAACAUUUGUUGUGUUAUAAUGGAUCUUGCUCAACUGUAGGAGUGCUACUUUAAGUUGUAAUGAUACACUGACUAUAAAACUAUUUUUAAAGGUAUGUGUACAAAAUAUCAUCUUUUGCUUUUAUCAUGUCAUGGACUUAAGAAAGAGGUAGCCUUCAGGGGGGAGUCAACUCAGUUAACAGCAUUUAUUUAGCAUGUAUUAUGCACUAGGCACUAUGUUACAGGUGCUAAUGACACAGUUACUAAUAAGACACGCAAAUAGUCCCUGCCCUCAGUGAGUUUUCAGACUGGUAAGGAGGAUGCAGCAAUAAAAACAUUUAGUGUAUAAAUUAAUAUCUUGUAUUUGUAAGUGUACAGAGAAGACACAAUAAUGUAAUGUGAUAUGAAAUUUCAGGAGUAGGGAGUGCUAUGAGGAGGUGGACAUUUGAGUUGAGAACUGAGUAAUGAGAAGGCAGCAACCAUAAAAAGAUAUGGAGGAGGAGCCUUUCAAACAAAUGCAAAGUUCCCGACCCAGGAAUAAACUUCAUGUGUGUAAGGACCAGAAAAUUAGGCCAUUGUGACUGGUUGAUGAAAAAGGGGAGACCUGAGAAGUAGGGAGUUUCUGAAAGAUAGAAGGCUUUGCAAGCCAUAAUAGCAAGUUUGUUUGUUUAUAUUAUGGCUGAUGUGGGAAGUCACUGGACAAUUUUAAGAAAGAGAGUGGUAUAACCUGAUUUAUUCUUUAGAAAAAUCGUUCUGAUUGUCUGCAGCAUGGAAUGGGUAGGGAAUGGGAGACAAGAGUAGAGAUAGGAAACUAAAUCAGGAAGUGGCUUAUUGUCAUGAUUCAGAAUUUAGACUCCUAGGUGAAUCUACACUCUAUGUAAAAAAUGACGGUGCUUUGGACUAGGCUUCUAAUAAUGGAGAUAUGAGAAGUGGAUGAGACUGGGAUUAUUUUACAAGUCCAGCCAACAGUGAG